GUCGGGAAUAUUGGGCAAUGGAGGAAACUCUGACCCAGCAACGCCGCGUGAAGGAAUAGAAGGUCUUCGGAUUGUAAACUUCUGUCGUGAGGGACGAAGAAUGACGGUACCUCAUAAGAAAGCCCCGGCUAACUACGUGCCAGCAGCCGCGGUAAUACGUAGGGGGCAAGCGUUGUCCGGAAUGACUGGGCGUAAAGGGAGUGUAGGUGGCGCUGUAAGUUAUAUGUGAAAGCCCGCAGCUUAACUGCGGAACGGCAUAUAAAACUGCAGUGCUUGAGUGCAGGAGAGGUAAGCGGAAUUCCUAGUGUAGCGGUGGAAUGCGUAGAUAUUAGGAAGAACACCAGAGGCGAAGGCGGCUUACUGGACUGUAACUGACACUGAGGCUCGAAAGCGUGGGGAGCAAACAGGA
rnacentral:rRNA from 1 species